CCUAAUCGUCGCUGCAUCAACUGCAAUAGCUUGGGUCCGCAGUAUGUUUGUAUUAAUUUCUGGACUUUCAUUUGUAUGACUUGUAGUGGGAUACAUCGGGAGUUCACUCAUCGUGUAAAGUCUGUGUCAAUGUCCAAGUUCACAUCUCAAGAAGUUGAAGCACUUCAAAAUGGUGGUAAUCAGCGCGCAAGGGAAGUAUACUUGAGGGAUUGGGACCAACAAAGGCAGAGAUUGCCUGAUAACAGCAAUGU
rnacentral:misc_RNA from 1 species